UACGAAGGGUGCAAGCGUUACUCGGAAUCAUUGGGCGUAAAGGGCGCGUAGGUGGUUCUGUAUGUCUACCGUGAAAGCAUACAGCUCAACUGUAUUUUGUCGGUAGAAACUGCAGGACUUGAGGCUGGGAGGGGCUGGUGGAAUUCCCUGUGUAGCGGUGAAAUGCGUAGAGAUGGGGGAGAACACUCGUGGCGAAGGCGGCCAGCUAGACCAGUUCUGACACUGAGGCGCGACAGCGUGGGGAGCAAACAGG
rnacentral:rRNA from 1 species